CCUACGGGUGGCAGCAGUGAGGAAUAUUGGUCAAUGGACGAGAGUCUGAACCAGCCAAGUAGCGUGAAGGAUGACUGCCCCAUGGGUUGUAAACUUCUUUUAUAAAGGAAUAAAAUGAGGCACGUGUGCCUUAUUGCAUGUACUUGAUGAAUAAGGAUCGGCUAACUCCGUGCCAGCAGCCGCGGUAAUACGGAGGAUCCGAGCGUUAGCCGGAUUUAUUGGGUUUAAAGGGUGCGUAGACCGGUUGUUAAGUCAGUUGGGAAAGUGUGUGGAGCAACCGUGACAUAGCAAUUGAAACUGGCAGUAUUGAGUACAGGUGAGGUAGGCGGAAUUCGUAGUGUAGCGGUGAAAUGCUUAGAUAUCACGAAGAACCCCGAUUGCGAAGGCAGCUUAC
rnacentral:rRNA from 1 species